rnacentral:rRNA from 1 species
CAUUAUUGAAAUAAACCUGAUGGGUUGUUGCUGGUUCUCUAGGGAGCAUGUGCACACCUUGUCAUCUUUAUAUCUCCACCUGUGCACUUUUUGUAGACCUUUCGGGUCUAUGUUGCUUCAUUUACCCCAAUGUAUGUUAAUAGAAUGUUGUGCCUAUAUAAUAUAUACAACUUUCAGCAACGGAUCUCUUGGCUCUCGCAUCGAUGAAGAACGCAGCGAAAUGCGAUAAGUAAUGUGAAUUGCAGAAUUCAGUGAAUCAUCGAAUCUUUGAACGCACCUUGCGCUCCUUGGUAUUCCGAGGAGCAUGCCUGUUUGAGUGUCAUUAAUAUAUCAACCUUCUCUUUUUUGAGUUGUUUGGAUGUGGGGGUUUGCUGGCCUCUUAAAUGAUUCAGCUCCCCUGAAAUGCAUUAGCAGAACAACCUGGAAUUCAUUGGCGUGAUAAUUAUCUAUGCUAUUGAAUGUGAGGGGCAGUUCAGCUUUCUAACCGUCCUCGGACAAUUCAUCAUUAAUGUGACCUCAAAUCAGGUAGGACUACCCGCUGAACUUAA